UACGGGGGGGGUAAGCGUUGUUCGGAAUUACUGGGCGUAAAGGGCUCGUAGGCGGCCAACUAAGUCAGACGUGAAAUCCCUCAGCUUAACUGGGGAACUGCGUCUGAUACUGGAUGGCUUGGAUUCGGGAGAGGAAUGCGGAAUUCCAGGUGUAGCGGUGAAAUGCGUAGAUAUCUGGAGGAACACCGGUGGCGAAGGCGGCAUCCUGGACCGGCAUUGACGCUGAGGCGCGAAAGCUAGGGGAGCAAACAGG
rnacentral:rRNA from 1 species